UCUCGGCUCCCGUAGCUCGAUCGGCCCGUUUCGGAAGGCCUCGGCUGCCCCCGGAAGCGUUCGGCUCCGCUCGGGUGCCUUCGGAAGUGGGGUUCGGCUCCGCCCCGCCCCCUGCCCGGCGGCCGCUCUCGGUCCCGCCCCUUCCUCGUCCUCUGCCCCAGAUCGGGUUCCGGGCUGCCUUCUCUUUCUUACUCUAUCUCUCUCUCUCUCCCUCUUUCUCUCUCGCUUAUAAGACUACCUGUCGGCCUCGAUCUGGGCCAGGCCCUCAACCUGGGCGGUCGCGGAGGGCCUCGACAACGGUCUCGGGGCGCCCCGCCGCUUCGGUGAUUUCCGCCGUCACCUCCCCCGCUUCGGCUCUGGCCGCAGUCGGCCCCGCGGCGCGCAUGCGCAGACGCGGCGCGCAGCCCGGGGCCGCGCUCGGCCAUUUCCGGGCGGGGGCUUCGGGCUCUUCCGGAGGAGAUUGUCCUGAGAGCUGCUGACCGAGCUUGCUGGGGGAGGGGUGUAAAGGGAGGCUGUUGGACGGCGUGGGGCAGUGCUUCAGAGGCCAACAGUGCCUUAGGAAGACGUAAAAGGCAGUUACAAGUCUCCAGAGAGCCCGGAGUGCGCACACACAGUGGGGGGAGGGGAGAAGGGCGCGAUGGGGGGGGAUGGACAGUCAGCUGUCUGUUUAAGCCAGCUCCGCCAACGCGGGAGCUGCACGCGAGAGACUGUGCCCGCCUAUUGGAAAAGACCCGGAGAAACUGCACGCCCAGCCAAUAGUUGUUGGGCACUAGUCAGCGGGGGCGGGGUCAAGUAGCUAACCUUCUAAUAAUCAUCCGGAAAUGCGGAGUAAGAGGGGAAGGACAGAAUCUUAGCGGUAGCUUCCUGCCUUUCAGUCUCUAUGACAACCGCAGACCGGGGAGGAGAUGCAGGGACUGGUCCUGGGCUUGAUUCUGGCAAAGGGUAAUCUGCAAGAAGACAAGGGAGCCAGAGAUCCGACGUGGAGGGUGGCAGAGGGGUCAGCUGCUACACCAGGGCCGAGAGGGAAGCACGGGGAGGCCAGUGGCCCGGGAGCCAAUCUCCUGGGGAGGUCCACACAGGGAAGAGCGCCUCUCAAGUCUGCGGUGAGGAUCGAGAACUCUCAUAAGUUCUUAGCCCAGUGCCUGGCACAUCCCUCCCUGCCCUGCAAAGAGCAGCCAUGGCAGCGACGUCCAGAGGAAGGGUGCAGUGCAUGGAAGGUGGAAGUGAGAUGAGGGGGAGCUUGUGAAUUAUGCAGCAAGCCUUCCAGAAGGCACAAGGAAAAGGCCAGCAGAGCUAGUGGGGAGCAAGGGAGUGAACAAUUAUAAUUGUUUAUUAAAAGCCACUUAUUUUCCAAACAUGCAUGGAUGAUUUUCAACAUUCAUCCUUGCAAAACCUUGGGUUCCACAAUUUUUUCUCUCUUCUCCCGCUCCCCCAGACAGCAAGUUGUUAUGGGCCAGAACUCUGUACUUGAAAUAAGGAUUCUUACAAGGUGUUAAGUCAGUGGAAUUGAUAAGACAAUGGUUAUCUUGGUGCGUAACAGUUCUCUAGUUCAGUAUGAUUGAUUUAAUCUUAUAGCAAAUAAUGAUUCCCUAGUGAUGUGAUUGAUUUAUAUUCCGUAUACUGCAUAUAAACUGGGACAAACUCAGCCAGAGACAGACUCAGAAGGGCUGGAAGACAGACUCAGAGAAGACAGAGGACUGGAGGUGGAGGCUGGAGCACAAACUCUCAGACUGAGACUUCAAGACAGAAACCAUCGUAGUGGUCCUCCUGCUUCCUCCACAGAAACCAAGACACAUUCUGGAGGACUUCCAGAAAGCUGGCCUGGGCCCCAGGCAAGGAGACGAGACUGUGAAGGAGAUAAUAAAGAAUUUGGACUUUAUCCCUGGCUGUUCUUGUGGUGAUUACUCUGCUGAAACGAAGGCUGGUCCAGAGACCUCCAGAAAACUACUAGCAAGUCAUCCAAUAUAUGUAAAAAUGGGCAAUUCUUCUACACAUAUUUCUAUAAUUCUCUUGUUACACAAGAAAACUAAAAUCAAAAAGGGAAGAAAAAAAGAAAAGACAAAAUACAAACAAAAAGAGUGAAAAUGCUAUGUGGUGAGCCACACUCAGUCCCGACAGACCUCUCUGGGGACAGAUGACUCUCUCCAUCACAAGACCAUUGGAGCUGGCCUGAAUUAUCUUGCUGGUGAAAAGAGCCAUGUCCAUCAGAAUUGAUCUUCGUAUAAUCUUGUUGUUGCCAUGUACAAUGAUCUCCUGGUUCUGCUCAUUUCAUUUAACAUCAGUUCUGUAAGUCUCUCCAGGCCUCUCUUGUUGGCGUUCUUGUUCUUCUUUAUAAUAAUAAUAUGAGAUGGUUUUCUUUGGGGGAGAAGGUUUCUCGAGGAGGUUUUCUUAGAAGCAGCCUUAGUAUCAGUUCAGAUCAAUAAUUACCCCAAAUGCAGCCAGCUGGUAAAAAUACAAACGUUUAUUUUCUCCUUCCAAAGUAGCCUGGUUAGUUGAGGCCUCUCUCUCUGCUUGAUUCCAAGAGCUCCCUCCGAAUGUCUCCAAAUCCAAAGAUUUUGUCCUUCAGCCUCUGCCUCUGCUUUCUUCAGCCUCCAGAGCCAGCACUUAGUUGAAUCUGUCUUGCCUCUGAGAGAGCCAAUUUCCUGCUCAACUCUCUACUCGUAGCUUCUUCCUCUGAAAACUCUUCUUCCACCACCAGCCAGCCAAGUGGAAAAUAUUGAAAUGAAUUACUCUUCAUUGGCUUAUAUAUGACUCUUCUGAGAGAAUGGGAUUAUGUAGUGCUCUCUGGCCGUAAGAGCUUCAAGGGAGGUGUGAAUUCAGAUAUCUCAUACUAAACCCUGAAAUUUCCCAAACGUGUGAACUCCAGUGAGUAAAGGUGCAAACACAAGCAUUGUAUCAAUUAAUUUUACUUAGUACUUUGUUUCAGGUUCUGGCCCAAAACAUCUUGUAAGAUCAGAUCAAUAAUCAACUCUAAUGAGUUAGCAGUUUGUAAAGAUUCCAACAUCUCCCCCUUUCUUUUGUUUUAGAACAUAGGGUGGUCAUGACCUCCCUGACUUUUCAAGGAGGUGAGAACCCCCCAAAAAAGAUGAUCACGCCUUCCCUGAUACCUCAGGAAGGGAGAUGAAAACAUCAAAGGAAAUAGGAAGUCAAAUCAGAUUAGCAGGUUUCUGAAGGGACUCACUUGAAACAAGUACACAUAAAUCCAUCAAUAUGGCCCAGAACUUUGAAACAGAUAUACAUGGUAUACAUAAAUCCAUCAAUAUAGGAGGCACAAUACAUAAUUUACAUAAGCACAUAGCAAUAUAACACAGGCUAGUAGUAAUGUAACAAAUAACAUGAAUCAACAUGAAAAUUUAAGUACUGCAAUAGCCUCAUCAACAAUCUUUCAUCUCAAGAAAUCCAAUGAUUCUUGCAAUUACAUAAAACACAUAAGCAACACAGCCUAGUAGUGAUGUAACAAAUAACAUGAAUCAUCCUGAAAAUUUACACAUGUCCAUAAGUCCUAGAAAUAGUCCAAAAGGAUUCCAUUGUCCAUUAGUUCAUGUGCCAGGAAUCCAAUAGUUCCUGCAAGCUCUGAAGUACUGCAAAAGUCUCAUCAACAAUUUUUCAUCUUAAGGAAUCCAGUGAUUCUUGCUGGUUUUUCAAGAACUAAAACAGUUUCAUCUUGUGUUAGGAAAUUCAAUGAUUCCUGAAGAUUUUAAACUAACAGUCUCAUUGUCAGCCAAGCUCUUUCAAUGGUGAGCACAAUCAGCAACAGAACCACCCGAUAUUUCUUGGAUCUUCUCCUCUGUUUCAAGGGUCUGCUCUGUCUCUCUGCAAUGGACAAGGCGAAUGCAACUCGUUGGCACCCAUCUGAUUCCUUCUCCACAUAUAGAGAUGCAAGCAAACCCUCUCCCCCAAGUAGUUAGCCUAUCUGGUCCCUUCCAUUCACCACUUUCUGGAUCUCUCCACAUCACCUGGCGAUUAUCUAAAGAUAGUGGAGCUGCUUGCACUGGACACUGCUGUUCUGAUGGGUUAUAAAACCUGUCUGCCGGAGCCAAUGCAUCUUUAUCAAAGAUUAAAAAAUUAAUGUUAUAGAGAACUAAAUUUAGAAGUUCUCUAGAGUUACCUGUGGCUCCUCCUUUUGUUUUUGGAGGAGUGUCCUUUUUUU